UACGUAGGGUGCGAGCGUUAAUCGGAAUUACUGGGCGUAAAGCGUGCGCAGGCGGUUGGCCGUGUCCGAUGUGAAAGCCCCGGGCUUAACCCUGGGAAUGGCAUUGGAAACUGGCUGGCUGGAGUGUGGCAGAGGGGGGUGGAAUUCCACGUGUAGCAGUGAAAUGCGUAGAGAUGUGGAGGAACACCGAUGGCGAAGGCAGCCCCCUGGGCCAACACUGACGCUCAGGCACGAAAGCGUGGGGAGCAAACAGG
rnacentral:rRNA from 1 species